GAGGGUAUAGCUCAGUGGUAGAGAGUGUGCUUAGCAUGCAUAAGGUCCUGGGUUCAAUCCCUAGUACCUCCA
rnacentral:tRNA from 1 species